rnacentral:rRNA from 1 species
AAAAAAGUCGGCGCAUCAUCGGUUGGCGACUAUCUCCCUAUCAGCUUGAUACACAGCAUCUCCAAAAUCUUCUCCAAGUUGUUGGCUAACCGGCUAGCCCCUCUGCUUCCGUCGCUGGUUUCCAAGAGCCAGAGUGCCUUUGUGCAGAAACGAUGCAUCCAUGAUAAUUUCCUACACGUGCAAAACUUGAUCAAAGAUUUGCACCGCUCUUCAACGCCAGGCCUUUUCCUCAAUCUCGACAUCUCCAAGGCUUUCAACUCUGUGGGUUGGGCUUACCUCCUGGAGGUGCUACAACAAUUGGGUUUUGGACAGCGCUGCCGGGACUAG